rnacentral:rRNA from 1 species
CGUAGGUGGCAAGCGUUGUCCGGAUUUAUUGGGUUUAAAGGGUGCGUAGGCGGCCCUGUAAGUCAGUGCUGAAAUAUCCCGGCUUAACCGGGAGGGUGGCAUUGAUACUGCAGGGCUUGAGUACAGAUGAAGUAGGCGGAAUUGACGGUGUAGCGGUGAAAUGCAUAGAUAUCGUCAAGAACACCGAUAGCGAAGGCAGCUUACUAAGCUGUAACUGACGCUGAGGCACGAAAGUGUGGGGAUCAAACAGGAUUAGAUACCCUGGUAGUCCACACUGUAAACGUUGAUGACUCGAUGUUGGCGAUACACAGCCAGCGUCCAAGAGCAAUCGUUAAGUCAUCCACCUGGGGAGUACGCCGGCAACGGUG